CUGCCAUCUUCUGGACUGGAGCUUCUUCUAGUUCUUACGGCCUUCAUGAACUCGAUGAGCACUUCAUUAGACACCUUACAUCUACCUUCUAUCCACAAUCACAGCUGAUGCAUGAUGGAAAACCAUUAUUUCUCAAAUGAAGUGUCCUGUGACCAGAAACUGACCACUGAUGAAGGACUAGAGGACCAACACAAACUGUGCAGUAACAGAUGAGUUAUCGUCUCUGCAUCUACAAGCACUUUGGGCAGAAGACUGAAGGUAUGCAGCGACGCUACUGCAAACCGUGUCAUCUCAUUAACGUAGGUGUGGAUGAUGUACAAAAUAUACAUCAUGGUACUUAAAGACAUUUUCUUGGAACAUAUCUGUCAUCAUAUCCAACUUUCAAAAUCAAAUGUGCCAUCAAAACACCAAAACAGUUGAGUUUAAGGAGCAAG